UACGAGUGCCCCAAGCGUUAUCCGGAAUUAUUGGGCGUAAAGGGUGUGUAGGUGGUUCUGUUAGUCUUUUGUUAAAGCUCUCGGCUUAACCGGGAAAGUGCAGGAGAAACGGCAGAACUAGAGGAUGCGAGAGGUGUGCGGAACUCAUGGUGUAGGGGUGAAAUCCGUUGAUAUCAUGGGGAACACCGAAAGCGAAGGCAGCACACUGGCGCACUCCUGACACUGAAACACGAAAGCGUGGGUAGCGAAUGGG
rnacentral:rRNA from 1 species